rnacentral:rRNA from 1 species
AUUGAACGCUGGCGGCAGGCCUAACACAUGCAAGUCGAGCGGGGUUUUCGGACCUAGCGGCGGACGGGUGAGUAAUGCGUAGGAAGCUGCCCGAUAGAGGGGGAUACCAGUUGGAAACGACUGUUAAUACCGCAUAAUGUCUACGGACCAAAGUGUGGGACCUUCGGGCCACAUGCUAUCGGAUGCGCCUACGUGGGAUUAGCUAGUUGGUUAGGUAAUGGCUCACCAAGGCGACGAUCUCUAGCUGGUUUGAGAGGAUGGUCAGCCACACUGGAACUGAGACACGGUCCAGACUCCUACGGGAGGCAGCAGUGGGGAAUAUUGAACAAUGGGCGCAAGCCUGAUCCAGCCAUGCCGCGUGUGUGAAGAAGGCCUUCGGGUUGUAAAGCACUUUCAGCGAGGAGGAAGGGUGGUGUGUUAAUAGCACAUCAUUUUGACGUUACUCGCAGAAGAAGCACCGGCUAACUCUGUGCCAGCCGCCGCCGUAACAC